AGAGUUUGAUCAUGGCUCAGAUUGAACGCUGGCGGCAAGCCUAACACAUGCAAGUCGAGCGGCAGCGGAAGAUUUUUUGCCGGCGAGCGGCGAACGGGUGAGUAAUAUCUGGGAAUCUACCUAAUGGAGAGGGAUAACUAUUGGAAACGAUAGCUAAUACCGCAUAAUGUCGAAAGACCAAAGUGGGGGAUCUUUUAAAAGACCUCAUGCCAUCAGAUGAGCCCAGACGGGAUUAGCUAGUAGGUGAGGUAAUGGCUUACCUAGGCGACGAUCCCUAGCUGUUCUGAGAGGAUGACCAGCCACACUGGAACUGAGACACGGUCCAGACUCCUACGGGAGGCAGCAGUGGGGAAUAUUGCACAAUGGGGGAAACCCUGAUGCAGCUAUGCCGCGUGUGUGAAGAAGGCCUUAGGGUUGUAAAGCACUUUUAGUAGAGAAGAAGUUUUGAUUGCAAAUAACAAUCAAGAUUGACGUUAUCUACAGAAAAAGCACCGGCUAACUCCGUGCCAGCAGCCGCGGUAACACGGAGGGUGCGAGCGUUAAUCGGAAUUACUGGGCGUAAAGAGUGCGUAGGCGGUUUAUUAUGUCAGGUGUGAAAUCCCUGAGCUUAACUUAGGAACUGCAUUUGAAACUGAUAAACUAGAGUUUCGUAGAGGAAAGUAGAAUUCCAGGUGUAGCGGUGAAAUGCGUAGAGAUCUGGAGGAAUACCAGUGGCGAAGGCGACUUUCUGGACGAAAACUGACGCUAAGGUACGAAAGCGUGGGGAGCAAACAGGAUUAGAUACCCUGGUAGUCCAUGCUGUAAACGAUGUCAAUUUGAAGGUCUUGGCUUUUUUUUUGAGCUAUGGCUUUCGUAGCUAACGCGUUAAAUUGACCGCCUGGGGAGUACGACCGCAAGGUUAAAACUCAAAUGAAUUGACGGGGGCCCGCACAAGCGGUGGAGCAUGUGGUUUAAUUCGAUGCAACGCGAAAAACCUUACCUACUCUUGACAUCCAGAGAAUUUAGCAGAGAUGCUUUAGUGCCUUCGGGGAACUCUGAGACAGGUGCUGCAUGGCUGUCGUCAGCUCGUGUUGUGAAAUGUUGGGUUAAGUCCCGCAACGAGCGCAACCCCUUUCCUUUGUUGCCAGCGAUUAGGUCGGGAACUCAAAGGAGACUGCCAGGUGAUAAACCGGAGGAAGGUGGGGACGACGUCAAGUCAUCAUGGCCCUUACGAGUAGGGCUACACACGUGCUACAAUGGUAUAUACAAAGGGAAGCAAUCCUGCAAAGGCUAGCGAAUCUCAUAAAGUAUAUCUUAGUCCGGAUUGGAGUCUGCAACUCGGCUCCAUGAAGUCGGAAUCGCUAGUAAUCGUGGAUCAGAAUGCCACGGUGAAUACGUUCCCGGGCCUUGUACACACCGCCCGUCACACCAUGGAAGUGAGUUGCAAAAGAAGUGAAUAAUCCUAACCUUUUUAUAAAGGAGGGAGUUUACCACUUUGUGAUUCAUAACUGGGGUGAAGUCGUAACAAGGUA
rnacentral:rRNA from 1 species